ensembl:lncRNA
CCUCUCCAGAGACCUCUCACUGCCAAUUGUUUUCACUGCCAGAGGCUUCACUACACUGAACAAAGAGCUUUAAUUUGUGACCAAAUAGCUUAUCAUUUAAUUAAUCGACAACCUGUUCGCUAAUCUUUAACAUGUUUUACACUCAACACUUUCGUUGGGAACUAUAUGUAGAUUUUACCUUGAUAAGAAUGUCAAGUGAGGCAUGGGUGGCACCUUAAUUAAUGAUGUGAAUCACCUGGAGCAGAGUGAAUGGAACAAUUGGAUAAAUGGAGCAGACGAGACUGGAGGAGCAGACUUGCUUGACCUUUUUUUGUGAAUCCUGCACAGGAUGAAUGAAUUGUUGGAAAGAGGACUAUGUGGUUGGAUGAAUAAUUUAUUGGAAUGAGUCGAUGGGGAUGAAUGUAUGGUGCACUGUUUGCAAUCAGAGAUUGUGUUGGUGUGUGUACCGGGAUGCGGUUUAUAUGAGUGACACGGAACAGAUCAGUGGACAUCGACAGACAUCACUUCAGGAUUCGACAGGGAGGUCUCAACGAGGUGCAGCUCUCACUCCCCCCCCCAACCCCAACAGUAAUGUCGGGAACUCACCAGACAAGCGUGUUGGGAGGAGAGGAUUUUGGGACCCCUUUUGGUUACAAACCUGUACCAGAACCCACCUUGAGUGGGAUUUUUGCUCCUCCAUUUACAGUGGCCGCUAUGUCUGCUUCAGGGGCUGUGGAUAUAUCCUCUGAGAAGCAACCUGCUCCGGGAAUGACUGAAGGACAUUCAGCAACACUCAUAGAUAUGGAGUCUGCUCCUUUGUAGGCUCCAGGUACAGUGGUUCUUGCGGAUAUAGAAUCUGCUCUAGUUGGAGUCACCGUCCCCUCUUUUGGACCAGCAGCUUCAGGGGACACAGUGAUCGAAUCAUGGUCACGCACACGCUCAUAAGAAUUUUAAGAUCUACUGCAUAAUAAUAAUAUUAGUAGUAAUAAUAAUAAUAAAGCAAUUAAAUAAUUAAAGGAUUAAAAGUUA